ACAAACUUUUUGAAAGUUUUUUGUCGCCCAAGCCAAGAGAUGGUAAUUUUAUGGAUUGGAACUAUGUCUUGUGCAAGAUAUGAUCAAUGGCUGGGAGCAGCCAGAGACAUUUUAGCUCAUUUGAAAAUGGUGACCAAGAACAAUUGUUCUAAUGUUCCUCAUUUGAUCGAAUCCACUAAAGUAAAGAGUUUAAAUAACCCAAAAAUCCAAUCCCUAAACUGUUGAAGAUGUUGCCAAACCGUGGUGGUUGCCGAACCCCACCCAACUGUUUAGUACUACCUUCUUUGUGUUCCCAGCCCUUUUAGUGCUGUCUAUGUCUGUCAAGUGUCACUGUCAAUGGCUUCACUUGAUAAAAGAGAUUUGUGCUGACAGGACAUUCUCGGACAUGCUUCCCCAUAUUUCAUUGGCUUUAGUUUCCAAAGCAACGUCUAUUGAGUGGGACUAUGUUUCUAGGCCACAUUUUAGAUCGUAUUAUGCAGCAAAAUAAUACUUUUCAAGCAAGAAAGCCAGAACUUCUCCUCGUUCAGCACAUGAUCUAUGGAUGGUUUGAAACCCAACACUUCAUUUGUAAGAUUAAUGAAAUCUUAAAAUUUGAUAUUCCUGAAACGGAAAACAAUUUUAACAACUCGAAAGGUGCUUUUGAGUUCAUUGGACAUGGGUUGCGAUCUGAGAAGGUCCAAAUCGCAUGAAUUUUGGAUCCUCCAGAUGAAGAAACACAAUAUUUAAGGAACCCUACAAGUUUUUCAAGAAUCUUAUAAUCGACAAUCUUUCAAAAGAUGAAAUCGAUACGUUUUAAACUCGAUGUUUGUAUUUUUUACAGAGCUUUUUUUCCAAGGUCUUAACUACCAAUUGUUUGUUUUUUACCAAAUUUCGUUUAACGUAGUAGCGUUUAAGAGUAGUAGCUUCUUCGUAUUUAUUUUAUAUACUAGAUAAUAAGAUCUUAAAAUUUAAUUCUAAUAAAUGCAGAUAAAAGCACUGCGCAAUCUUAGGCAAUUGUAGAAUAAUAGUAAUUGAAACCAUAGAAAUAAAAUCUAGUGCUAAAUUAAACAAAUGUGAUUCUCUAACAAAAAAACUAUUUUAAACGGCUUUCUAAAUCAUUACAAGUAAUGCUAUGGCAAAUUAAUAAAUGGUAGUGAAACAA